AACGAACGCUGGCGGCGUGGAUAAGACAUGCAAGUCGAACGCUGAAUGCGGGGUAGCAAUAUCUCGUAUUCGGAGUGGCGCAAGGGUGCGUAACACGUGGGUAAUCUGCCGCGAAGACCGGGAUAACUUGCUGAAAGGCGAGCUAAUACCGGAUGUGGAAUUUGGGAGGCAUCUCUUAAAUUCUGAAGCUGGGGACUGUUAAAGGCCUGGCACUUCGCGANGAGCCCGCGGCCUAUCAGCUAGUUGGUGAGGUAAUGGCUCACCAAGGCUAAGACGGGUAGCUGGUCUGAGAGGACGACCAGCCUCACUGGAACUGAGAGACGGUCCAGACACCUACGGGUGGCAGCAGUCGAGUAAUUUUUCUCAAUGGGCGAAAGCCUGAAGGAGCGACGCCGCGUGGGGAUGAAGGG
rnacentral:rRNA from 1 species